rnacentral:rRNA from 1 species
AUGUGCCCCCUGUGCAAGCAAGUCCAGGAAUCGGUGGCUCAUCUGCUUUUCAAAUGCCGCUACACGGUUAGAGUAUGGAACAUGAUUAAAGCGUGGCUUGGCCUUCAUGACAUUUACCCGCAGAACUGGGCCAUGGUUGACACGGUGAAGAGUUGGUGGAGUGCCAAUGCUUCCAACAGGACGCAAUCUGGACGACCACUUACCUGCCUUAUGCUGCUCGUCUCAUGGGAAAUUUGGAAAGAGCGGAAUGCUAGGGUAUUUCGUAAUGUCGCAGUGCCUGUUGGGGUUUUAGUAGCUAGAAUCAAAGACGAGAUGGCGCUAUGGUGUCUGGCCGGUGCGAAACAUUUGUGUAAUAUCAAUGCCACGAGAGUGAUACGUUGUAUUUGGCCUUUGGCCAAGACCCCUAAUACUCCUUCUUAUUCAAUGAAAAUGGCAAAUCUUUUGCCUUGUUUCAAAAAAUAA